GACGAACGCUGGCGGCGUGCUUAACACAUGCAAGUCGAACGGAAAGGCCCUGCUUUUGUGGGGUGCUCGAGUGGCGAACGGGUGAGUAACACGUGAGUAACCUGCCCUUGACUUUGGGAUAACUUCAGGAAACUGGGGCUAAUACCGGAUAGGAGCUCCUGCUGCAUGGUGGGGGUUGGAAAGUUUCGGCGGUUGGGGAUGGACUCGCGGCUUAUCAGCUUGUUGGUGGGGUAGUGGCUUACCAAGGCUUUGACGGGUAGCCGGCCUGAGAGGGCGACCGGCCACAUUGGGACUGAGAUACGGCCCAGACUCCUACGGGAGGCAGCAGUGGGGAAUAUUGCACAAUGGGCGGAAGCCUGAGGCAGCAACGCCGCGUGCGGGAUGACGGCCUUCGGGUUGUAAACCGCUUUCGCCUGUGACGAAGCGUGAGUGACGGUAAUGGGUAAAGAAGCACCGGCUAACUACGUG
rnacentral:rRNA from 1 species